rnacentral:rRNA from 1 species
GACGAAGGUGGCGACCGUUGUUCGGAAUCACUGGGCCUAAAGAGCACGUAGGCGGCAAGGUAUGUCGGGUGUGAAAUCCCUCGGCCUAACCGAGGAAUUGCGCCCGAAACUACCUUGCUUGAGGAUGGAAGGGGAGCGUGGAAUUCCUGGUGGAGCGGUGAAAUGCGUUGAUAUCAGGAGGAACACCGGCGGCGAAGGCGACGCUCUGGUCCAUUACUGACGCUGAGGUGCGAAAGCCAGGGGAGCAAACGGG